rnacentral:rRNA from 1 species
AAAGGGAAAUCCGCCAUGAGAUGGUCCGCGUCCAUCAGCUAGUUGGUGGGGUAAAGGCCUACCAAGGCGACGACGGGUAGCCGGCUGAGAGGGUGACCGGCCACACUGGGACUGAGACACGGCCCAGACUCCUACGGGGGGCAGCAGUGGGGAAUAUUGCACAAUGGGCGAAAGCUGAUGCAGCGACGCCGCGUGGGCGAAGAAGGCCUUCGGGUUGUAAAGCCCUGUCUGGAGGGACGAAGUAAUGACGGUACCUCCGGAGGAAGCCACGGCUAACUACGUGCCAGCAGCCGCGGUAAUACGUAGGUGGCGAGCGUUGUCCGGAAUUACUGGGCGUAAAGGGCGUGCAGGCGGCCACUUAAGUCGGGCGUGAAAACCGCUGGCUCAACUGGCGGAUGUCGUUCGAAACUGAGUGGCUUGAGUGCGGGAGAGGAAAGCGGAAUUCCCGGUGUAGCGGUGAAAWGCGUARAUAUCGGGAGGAACACCAGUGGCGAAGGCGGCUUUCUGGACCGUAACUGACGCUGAGACGCGAAAGCUGGGGGAGCAAACAGGAUUAGAUACCCUGGUAGUCCCAGCCGUAAACGAUGAACACUAGGUGUAGGGGGUAUCGACCCCUCCUGUGCCGCAGCAAACGCAAUAAGUGUUCCGCCUGGGGAGUACGGCCGCAAGGUUAAAACUCAAAUGAAUUGACGG